UUUCUCUUCCUAUCUAUACCAUAUGCCCUCCCUAAGACUUCAAGGAAGAAGCAACAGCCCCACCAUCAGCACCCA